rnacentral:pre_miRNA from 1 species
UAUAUUUUUUUACUCUUCGUCUUAUUCAAAUUUUUUUGCGAUUGAUAUUUUUAUUUUUAUUAGAUGAUAAAUCAUGAAUAGUACUUUACGUGUGACUAAUUUUUUUUCUAAUUUCCUGAAAGUUUUUUAAAUAAGACGGAUGGUCAAACGUUGGACACAGAAACUGAAG